rnacentral:rRNA from 1 species
CGGUUAAGUUAGAAAGGGCGCACGGUGGAUGCCUUGGCACUAGGAGCCGAUGAAGGACGGGACGAACACCGAUAUGCUUCGGGGAGCUGUAAGCAAGCUUUGAUCCGGAGAUUUCCGAAUGGGGAAACCCACCACUCGUAAUGGAGUGGUAUCCAUAUCUGAAUACAUAGGGUAUGAGAAGGCAGACCCGGGGAACUGAAACAUCUAAGUACCCGGAGGAAGAGAAAGCAAAUGCGAUUCCCUGAGUAGCGGCGAGCGAAACGGGACCAGCCCAAACCAAGAGGCUUGCCUCUUGGGGUUGUAGGACACUCUGUACGGAGUUACAAAGGAACGAGGUAGAUGAAGAGGUCUGGAAAGGCCCGCCAUAGAAGGUAACAGCCCUGUAGUCAAAACUUCGUUCUCUCCUGAGUGGAUCCUGAGUACGGCGGAACACGUGAAAUUCCGUCGGAAUCCGGGAGGACCAUCUCCCAAGGCUAAAUACUCCCUAGUGACCGAUAGUGAACCAGUACCGUGAGGGAAAGGUGAAAAGCACCCCGGAAGGGGAGUGAAAGAGAUCCUGAAACCGUGUGCCUACAAGUAGUCAGAGCCCGUUAACGGGUGAUGGCGUGCCUUUUGUAGAAUGAACCGGCGAGUUACGAUCCCGUGCAAGGUUAAGCAGAAGAUGCGGAGCCGCAGCGAAAGCGAGUCUGAAUAGGGCGAAUUGAGUACGUGGUCGUAGACCCGAAACCAGGUGAUCUACCCAUGUCCAGGGUGAAGUUCAGGUAACACUGAAUGGAGGCCCGAACCCACGCACGUUGAAAAGUGCGGGGAUGAGGUGUGGGUAGGGGUGAAAUGCCAAUCGAACCUGGAGAUAGCUGGUUCUCUCCGAAAUAGCUUUAGGGCUAGCCUCAAGGUAAGAGUCUCGGAGGUAGAGCACUGAUUGGACUAGGGGCCCCUACCGGGUUACCGAAUUCAGUCAAACUCCGAAUGCCGAUGACUUAUCCUUGGGAGUCAGACUGCGAGUGAUAAGAUCCGUAGUCGAAAGGGAAACAGCCCAGACCGCCAGCUAAGGUCCCAAAGUAUACGUUAAGUGGAAAAGGAUGUGGAGUUGCUUAGACAACCAGGAUGUUGGCUUAGAAGCAGCCACCAUUUAAAGAGUGCGUAAUAGCUCACUGGUCGAGUGACUCUGCGCCGAAAAUGUACCGGGGCUAAACGUAUCACCGAAGCUGCGGACUGUUCUUCGAACAGUGGUAGGAGAGCGUUCUAAGGGCUGUGAAGCAAGACCGGAAGGACUUGUGGAGCGCUUAGAAGUGAGAAUGCCGGUAUGAGUAGCGAAAGAGGGGUGAGAAUCCCCUCCACCGAAUGCCUAAGGUUUCCUGAGGAAGGCUCGUCCGCUCAGGGUUAGUCGGGACCUAAGCCGAGGCCGAAAGGCGUAGGCGAUGGACAACAGGUUGAUAUUCCUGUACCACCUCCUCACCAUUUGAGCAAUGGGGGGACGCAGGAGGAUAGGGUAAGCGCGGUAUUGGAUAUCCGCGUCCAAGCAGUUAGGCUGGGAAAUAGGCAAAUCCGUUUCCCGUGAAGGCUGAGCUGUGAUGGCGAGCGAAUUAUAGUAGCGAAGUUCCUGAUUCCACACUGCCAAGAAAAGCCUCUAGCGAGGUGAGAGGUGCCCGUACCGCAAACCGACACAGGUAGGCGAGGAGAGAAUCCUAAGGUGAUCGAGAGAACUCUCGUUAAGGAACUCGGCAAAAUGACCCCGUAACUUCGGGAGAAGGGGUGCUCUGUUAGGGUGCAAGCCUGAGAGAGCCGCAGUGAAUAGGCCCAGGCGACUGUUUAGCAAAAACACAGGUCUCUGCGAAGCCGUAAGGCGAAGUAUAGGGGCUGACGCCUGCCCGGUGCUGGAAGGUUAAGAGGAGCGCUUAGCGUAAGCGAAGGUGCGAAUUGAAGCCCCAGUAAACGGCGGCCGUAACUAUAACGGUCCUAAGGUAGCGAAAUUCCUUGUCGGGUAAGUUCCGACCCGCACGAAAGGCGCAACGAUCUGGGCACUGUCUCAACGAGAGACUCGGUGAAAUUAUAGUACCUGUGAAGAUGCAGGUUACCCGCGACAGGACGGAAAGACCCCGUGGAGCUUUACUGCAGCCUGAUAUUGAAUGUUGGUACAGCUUGUACAGGAUAGGUAGGAGCCUUGGAAACCGGAGCGCCAGCUUCGGUGGAGGCAUCGGUGGGAUACUACCCUGGCUGUAUUGACCUUCUAACCCGCCGCCCUUAUCGGGCGGGGAGACAGUGUCAGGUGGGCAGUUUGACUGGGGCGGUCGCCUCCUAAAAGGUAACGGAGGCGCCCAAAGGUUCCCUCAGAAUGGUUGGAAAUCAUUCGCAGAGUGUAAAGGCACAAGGGAGCUUGACUGCGAGACCUACAAGUCGAGCAGGGACGAAAGUCGGGCUUAGUGAUCCGGUGGUUCCGCAUGGAAGGGCCAUCGCUCAACGGAUAAAAGCUACCCCGGGGAUAACAGGCUUAUCUCCCCCAAGAGUCCACAUCGACGGGGAGGUUUGGCACCUCGAUGUCGGCUCAUCGCAUCCUGGGGCUGUAGUCGGUCCCAAGGGUUGGGCUGUUCGCCCAUUAAAGCGGUACGCGAGCUGGGUUCAGAACGUCGUGAGACAGUUCGGUCCCUAUCCGUCGCGGGCGCAGGAAAUUUGAGAGGAGCUGUCCUUAGUACGAGAGGACCGGGAUGGACGCACCGCUGGUGUACCAGUUGUUCUGCCAAGGGCAUCGCUGGGUAGCUAUGUGCGGACGGGAUAAGUGCUGAAAGCAUCUAAGCAUGAAGCCCCCCUCAAGAUGAGAUUUCCCAUUCCGCAAGGAAGUAAGAUCCCUGAAAGAUGAUCAGGUUGAUAGGUCUGAGGUGGAAGUGUGGCGACACAUGGAGCUGACAGAUACUAAUCGAUCGAGGACUUAACCAAUUU